rnacentral:rRNA from 1 species
GGCUCAGGAUGAACGCUAGCUACAGGCUUAACACAUGCAAGUCGAGGGGCAGCACAAGGCAGCAAUAACCUUUGAUGGCGACCGGCGCAAGGGUGCGUAACGCGUGAGCAACUUGCCCGUUUCUGGGGAAUAACCGGUGGAAACGCCGACUAAUACCCCAUGGCAUUGAUUUCAGGCAUCUGUUAUCAAUUAAAGAAUUUCGGAAACGGAUAGGCUCGCGUGACAUUAGCUAGAUGGCGGGGUAACGGCCCACCAUGGCGACGAUGUCUAGGGGUUCUGAGAGGAAGGUCCCCCACACUGGAACUGAGACACGGUCCAGACUCCUACGGGAGGCAGCAGUGAGGAAUAUUGGUCAAUGGUCUGACGACUGAACCAGCCAUGCCGCGUGAAGGUGACGGCCCUAUGGGUCUUAAACUUCUUUUGCAAGGGAGCAAUAAGGCGUACGUGUACGUCGAUGAGAGUACCUUGCGAAUAAGCAUCGGCUAACUCCGUG